rnacentral:rRNA from 1 species
UUCCUACGGGAGGCAGCAGUGGGGAAUUUUCCGCAAUGGGCGAAAGCCUGACGGAGCAAUACCGCGUGAGGGAGGAAGGCUCUUGGGUCGUAAACCUCUUUUCUGUGGGAAGAAUAAAUGACGGUACCACAGGAAUCAGCAUCGGCUAACUCCGUGCCAGCAGCCGCGGUAAUACGGAGGAUGCAAGCGUUAUCCGGAAUCAUUGGGCGUAAAGCGUCCGUAGGUGGCUAUUCAAGUCUGCCGUCAAAGACUGGGGCUUAACCCCGGAAAGGCGGUGGAAACUGAAUAACUAGAGUGCGGUAGGGGUAGAGGGAAUUCCCAGUGUAGCGGUGAAAUGCGUAGAGAUUGGGAAGAACACCGGUGGCGAAAGCGCUCUACUGGGCCUGCACUGACACUGAGGGACGAAAGCUAGGGGAGCGAAAGGGAUUAGAUACCCCUGUAGUCCUAGCCGUAAACGAUGGAUACUAGGUGUUGGCAGUAUCGACCCUGCCAGUACCGGAGCUAACGCGUUAAGUAUCCCGCCUGGGGAGUACGCACGCAAGUGUGAAACUCAAAUGAAUUGACGGA